ensembl:lncRNA
UUUGUUUUCAUGUCUUGGGUAACACAGAAGAAAAACAAGAGUUGUACAUGUCAGGGGUUGUGUAGCGGGGACGAUCUGAUAUCGUCGUGUUGGCGUUGUUCCCACAUCAUCAUAAUUAAUGUUCUUCCAGGGUCCACAUUACAAGUAACCAAUCACCUUCUUGUGACGUCAUACUUUUGCGACUUCGCCUUAAAAAAACAAAUGUUCUUCGAGAAACCGCCUUUUGUCCGCUGAUCCAGCAAUUUCAAUUCCUCUCAAGAUACUUUUCUUUAAUAAACGAGCAUUUAUGGUUGACAAAGACUUUGCGGAAAUAAAUGCUUUGCAGAAGGUUUUUCCAGAGUCAGCUAUCCUUCUAUGCUGGUGCCAUGUCUUGCAGGCUGCUAAUCGAUGGCUUUCAAAAUCUGAGUCUGGGGUCCAUGGGCUUUCUAACACCCAAAAGAGAAAUGAAAUCAUUUCUUUCUUUUGUAAGCUGAAAGCUUGCACAUCUUGUGGUAUGUUGGAGCAGCGGUUUAUCGGCAGCUGAGAGGAAGAGGUUGGAUAAACUCAUCAGGAAGGCCAGCUCUGUUCUGGGAUGCACCCUGGACCCAGUGCAGGUGGUGGGAGACAGAAGGACUCUGGCCAAAAUAACAUCUCUGAUGGACAGAGUCUCCCACCCCAUGCAUGUAAAUGUUGCUGAACUGCAGAGCUCCUUCAGUGACAGACUGCUGCAUCCUAGAUGCAUGAAGGAGCGUUUCCGCAGGUCCUUCCUCCCUGCAGCUGUCAGACUGUACAAUCAGAACUGCUCCCAACAAUCAUAGAUGUUUACAUCAGCACUGUAACUGCAAUAAGUUAAUCAACCGAUUCGCACUACAACCUGGUUUGCCUCUUAUCUGUAGUUAUUUUUAUUUAAUUUAAUAACUGUACAGUACUCUCUGUAUAUAGUAACCAUUGUCCUUAAUGUAAAUAUGUAAGAAAAAUUGUGUAUGUUUCUGUGCUGUGUCCUGUUUGUUUGUAUAUGUGUCUUUUUGGCUGCUGUUACAACCAAAUUUCCCCUUGUGGGACAAUUAAAGGAUUAUUCUAUUCUAUUGUGUCACCCACAGUGCAGUAGAACUUGUGAGUGGGAUUCUUUCACAGACAGAUGCUGAAACCAAAUAUGCUUAUAGGUUUAGUGUUCCUUCUUAGCCAUUGUAAGGGAAGAAAUAAUUGCUUCUUAAUACAAAAACACAACAUAUUAUUAAUAACUUAAAAUUCUUAAUGUUAGUCAUAAAGUCAUGUCAG